AUUGAACGCUGGCGGCAGGCCUAACACAUGCAAGUCGAACGAGUGGCGGACGGGUGAGUAAUGUAUGGGAAUCUGGCUGAUGGCGGGGGAUAACUACUGGAAACUGUAGCUAAUACCGCGUACCAUCAGAUGAACCCACGUGGGAUUAGCUAGUAGGUAAGGUAACGGCUAACCAAGGCGACGAUCUCUAGCUGGUCUGAGAGGAUGACCAGCCACAUUGGGACUGAGACACUGCCCAGACUCCUACGGGAGGCAGCAGUGGGGAAUAUUGCACAAUGGGGGCAAGCCUGACGCAGCCAUGCCGCGUGUAUGAAGAAGGCCUUAGGGUUGUAAAGUACUUUCAGCGGGGAGGCGUUACCCUCAGAAGAAGCACCGGCUAACUCCGUGCCAGCAGCCGCGGUAAUUC
rnacentral:rRNA from 1 species